AUGGUUUGCGGUCUUUUUGCCCUUCGUUGCUCUCCACCGGUCUGGGCAGGGUCUGAGGACUCCGGAGAGCAAGGCAUGGUUCCGCCUCGUGCCGCAGGUUCCUGGCCCACGCCAGCCGUACCCAGUAGCACAAUGGGUGAGCUCUGAGGACUUCACAGGGGCCCCAUCCCCUCACCUAGAUGAGGGCUAACCUUGGAAUCCAGACAAAGGUGGAAGUGACCUAGAUGUGACCUGAAUGAGCUAAUCAUCUAAUGAGAGCCAGCCCUUUGUCCUGCCCGCAUGAAGGGCUUUGCUGCUACGCACUGACGAGUUGGACGGCUUUUUAUUGCUUUCUUGCCAGUUAUCUGAACAUGAGAGGCUGUAAGGUGUAAUCUGCGAGCCCUGCGCCCAGACUGAGCCAGGGCCUCCCUUGAACAUGAGUAUUAGACAAUGAAAUAAGAACUUAUCUUGCCCAGACUAUAUAAUGGCUUGGAAAUGCAUAGUUUCCUGAACGAUCUCAAUAAAAUACUUCUAAAAGUA
rnacentral:lncRNA from 1 species